rnacentral:tRNA from 1 species
GGGGAUAUGGCGAAAUUGGUAGACGCAACGGACUUAAAAAAUCCGUCGAUAUUAAAAAGUCGUGAGGGUUCAAGUCCCUCUAUCCCCA